rnacentral:rRNA from 1 species
CCAAAUCUUGACAUCCUCUGACCCCUCUAGAGAUAGAGUUUUCCCCUUCGGGGGACAGAGUGACAGGUGGUGCAUGGUUGUCGUCAGCUCGUGUCGUGAGAUGUUGGGUUAAGUCCCGCAACGAGCGCAACCCUUAUUACUAGUUGCCAGCAUUCAGUUGGGCACUCUAGUGAGACUGCCGAUGACAAAUCGGAGGAAGGUGGGGAUGACGUCAAAUCAUCAUGCCCCUUAUGACCUGGGCUACACACGUGCUACAAUGGUUGGUACAGAGGGAAGCUAUGUAGUGAUAUAAUGCAAAACUCCAAAGCCAAUCCCAGUUCGGAUUGUAGGCUGCAACUCGCCUACAUGAAGUCGGAGUUGCUAGUAAUCGCGGAUCAGAAUGUCGCGGUGAAUACGUUCCC